CCCUUAGAUGUUCUGGGCCGCACGCGUGCUACACUGAGUGGAUCAGCGGGUCAGGUUGCGCGAAAGUGUUUCCUAAUCUUGAAAUCCGCUCGUGAUGGGGAUUGACGGUUGCAAUUUUCCGUCAUGAACGAGGAAUACCUUGUAAGCGCGGGUCAUCAUCCCGCGCUGAAUACGUCCCUGCCCUUUGUACACACCGCCCGUCGCUCCUACCGAUUGAGUGGUCCGGUGAGGCUUUGGGAUCUGAGCGGAAAGAGCGUUUCGCUGUUUCUGCUCGGAAAACUCAGUCGAUCCUUAUCAUUUAGAGGAAGGAGAAGUCGUAACA
rnacentral:rRNA from 1 species